AGCUUUGUGGUUGCCUCCUGCGCGAGGCCCGCUGCCGGCCCCUCCUCUCUGGGCCCUUGCCCAGCAACCCCGCGAUGCUCACAGCGCUGCCUUCACACUCGCCUGGCCCGUGCCUGGGUGGGUGAGUGGAUCAACAAUGGGGGGCCACCCACCUUGGUGGUCAGGAGGAGAUCUCCUCACCUGUGGGGUGAGGGCACCGCUCAGCGGGGGACACUGGCCGACUCCACAGACAGGACAUGGGAAGGACUGUCUGGCCCACGACAGCCAGAGGCAGACGCUGUUACUGCUCUGCUGUGUGUCCUGCCUCGAGGGGUGAAUGUGGUCUCACAGCGUUCCAUACGGAGGGAGCCACGCGGAGCCUCUUCAGCUAUUUUAGAACUAAUAAACAAUUGUCAAUGUCAUGGCCGACACGGAGCAGAAGCCGCAGCGCUUUAUGGAAGAUCAAAGACACGGGCAAAGAUCUUCAGAGAAAAAAGAGGACAGGGAAGAAACCAUCCUGGGUCUUCUGAGCGAGCUCCAGGCUCGGGGAGUCUGCAGGAGGCACUGGGCUGGCCGGGCGGGAAGGGGCCCUCGGAGUCCAGCAGCACAGGGCCCCUUCCUGCGGCAUGGGAUCCCUCGGGCCUAGCGGACAUGGCUCUUGGCUCGGCGGAGAUGUUUCUUGGGACUCGCAGCUGGCGUCUGUGUCUGUCCCAGCAAGGGCCACCUGGGGCAGGGUCUGUGUCAGUCUCUGAGCACCAGCAAGCUGCCAGGAGCCUUGCCAGGUGCCUGCCCGGCCUUGGAGCUCAUGGCUGGCACCAGGGAGCUGGCCAGUGGAGGCCGUGCCCCUGCCCCAGAGUGCCAGACCACGUGCCUCAGAAGAUGUGUGUCGUCCACAGUCCUAGACAUUGGGACACCUGAGUGCUCGUCCCAAUCGGCCACCAGCCCAGCGGAUCUGGGGCUGCCUGCUCUGGGUCUUCCUGUGUGUCACUCAUCACUGACGCUGCCCUGGGACUGGGAGCUGGUGGGGGAGCUGUCAGUGAUGCCCAGAGGACCCUGGACCAGCAUGAGGCCCCUGCAGGGCAGCCACAUCCCUGGAGCUCAGAGCCCAGGCACAUGAAGGGGCACGUGGAACAUGCAGGAGCGGGCACUUGGGGGGUGCCCAGGAACAUGGAGACCCCACAUUUAUGGGGGCGACACAAUAGAGACAGGUAUAUUCCCCAUUUUCAUGUGAGCCCUGGGGAGAUGGCGCCAGACCUCUCUCACCCUCUACGCCCGCGCAGCCCAGGGCUGGGAGGAACGAAUGAAUGAAUUUAUGAAUGAAUGCACAAAUGAGGGCAGGAGGCCUUGGCUCUGCCACCUGGCCGCUGGUCCUCAGCCACUCCGCUGACCACCGCUCUCCCUGCAGAGCAGCGGGUUCAGAGGGGCAUCCCCUACCGUGGGCCUCAGAAACGCGUCAUUGCCCCAAAUGUUCACCCACACCGCCCGUGGCCAGCCCUGGGCUGAGUCCUUCCAGCUCGGUGCGCUGCUUCAAUCCUGUCUCUGUUGUAGUUCUCAGCGGCCAGUGAGAGGAAGUCUUGGUGUCACAGCCACCCACCAUGUGCACAGCUUGUCUCCCUGCAGUCCGUUCCAGCACCGCAGCAGAAGACCACGGCCCUUGUCUGCCCGAAUCCUGCCGGGCUGCGCUUCACCCAGAGAAGAAGCGGGUCCCUGCCUUGGCCCCUCAGCCUCUGUGCUCUCCUGUCCCCCUCUCCUCUCGCUCCCUCCUUGACAGGCAGGCUGCUGCCUUAGGGUCUUUGUACCUGCUGAUCUGCUUUUCUCCACAUCUCCCUUCGUUGUGCAUUUUCUGUCCUGCCCCAGCUCGAAUAUCUCUCCAGGAGGGGAGCGGCUCUGCCUCUGCAAAACCCAACGGGACUGCAUC
rnacentral:lncRNA from 1 species